ACAGCCGCUGCCAGCCCCGAGACACAUGGUUCUAAAACAGAGUUACAACCUUCAUAUAAUCUGAGCUAGAACUGGCAAAUGAGUUGGGCAUUGUGCAGUUCUAUGUGUGUUUUGGCUGCGGUCUACAUUAUUUCAACGUCAACCCAGCUCCAUCCAGCUCUCACCCAAAUGGACUUGUUUGAAAUGGAAGAAGUCCAAAAGAUAGAGACACAGCGCCAAAGUGGACUGGAGACAGUCAACCACAAAGGGACAACAGCCUGAUUUAUUUUGCAAGCAGUGGAGUCUACACUUACUGGCUGUUCGAAAUAACAUCGCAGUGCUGUUUUUCUCCCCUUUGAAGCAACAUAAUCACUCUUUAAGUUGAGUGAGACACAAGUCACUUGAAAUUAUACAGUAUUUGGCACAAGGGCAUGUACGUAAGUGGCCUGUUGUUUGAAUAUGAGAU